UGUAGCUCAGUUGGUAGAGCAGCUGAUUUGUAAUCAGCAGGUCGGGGGUUCGAGCCCGUCCACC
rnacentral:tRNA from 1 species